rnacentral:rRNA from 3 species
AAAUGACUCUCGGCAACGGAUAUCUCGGCUCUCGCAUCGAUGAAGAACGUAGCAAAAUGCGAUACUUGGUGUGAAUUGCAGAAUCCCGUGAACCAUCGAGUCUUUGAACGCAAGUUGCGCCUGAAGCCAAUAGGUUGAUGGCACGUCUGCCUGGGCGUCACGCAUU